rnacentral:rRNA from 1 species
CGCGCAGGCGGUCGUUCAAGUCGAGUGUGAAAGCCCCCGGCUCAACUGGGGAGGGUCAUUCGAUACUGAUCGACUCGAAGGCAGGAGAGGGUAGUGGAAUUCCCGGUGUAGUGGUGAAAUGCGUAGAUAUCGGGAGGAACACCAGUGGCGAAGGCGACUACCUGGCCUGUUCUUGACGCUGAGGCGCGAAAGCUAGGGGAGCAAACG